rnacentral:rRNA from 1 species
GACGAACGCUGGCGGCGUGCUUAACACAUGCAAGUCGAACGGAAAGGCCCUGCUUUUGUGGGGUGCUCGAGUGGCGAACGGGUAAGUAACACGUGAGUAGCCUGCCCUUGACUUUGGGAUAACUUCAGGAAACUGGGGCUAAUACCGGAUAGGAGCUCCUGCUGCAUGGUGGGGGUUGGAAAGUUUCGGCGGUUGGGGAUGGACUCGCGGCUUAUCAGCUUGUUGGUGGGGUAGUGGCUUACCAAGGCUUUGACGGGUAGCCGGCCUGAGAGGGUGACCGGCCACAUUGGGACUGAGAUACGGCCCAGACUCCUACGGGAGGCAGCAGUGGGGAAUAUUGCACAAUGGGCGGAAGCCUGAUGCAGCAACGCCGCGUGCGGGAUGACGGCCUUCGGGUUGUAAACCGCUUUCGCCUGUGACGAAGCGUGAGUGACGGUAAUGGGUAAAGAAGCACCGGCUAACUACGUG